ensembl:lncRNA
ACAAAUGUAAGCUGGGAACAGGAAGAAAGAAGACUAUCUAGUUCUGAACAAGAAACUGGUCUAUGGUUUUCCAAGAAGUGUGCUACUUGGCCUAAGAACAUAGACUGCAGAAGAGGAAGAGGAGAAAGAGGAAGAGAAGAAAAACAGAAAAGAAAGAAAAGCAGGAAGAGAAACAGGAGGAGAACAAGAAGGAAGAGGAAGCAGGAGUGGGGGAAUAGGAGGAGGAGGGAGGGAGAAAAGGAAGAAGAGGAGGAAGAGGAAGAUUAUGAGGAGGAGAAAGAGGAGAAUGUAUCCUUCUCUACCACCUGCUCUGUAGGUCAAAUUCCUUUCCUAAUCCUCUUUUUAUGUGUUCUCUCUCCAUUAGAAUAUAAGCUCACUUUCUUUUUGUAUUUUCUUUUCUGUUUCUAGUUCUUAACAUUGUACCUGGCAUUUGGCCAGUACAGAAUAAAUGCUCUGCCUUUCUACCUGGGAAGCUGGGU